rnacentral:rRNA from 1 species
UACGAAGGGGGGCUAGCGUUGCUCGGAAUUACUGGGCGUAAAGCGUGCGCAGGCGGUUUUGUAAGCCAGAUGUGAAAGCCCCGGGCCUAACCUGGGAAUGGCAUUUGGGGACUGCAAGGCUGGAGUGUGGCAGAGGAGACUGGAAUUCCUGGUGUAGCAGUGAAAUGCGUAGAUAUCAGGAGGAAUACCGAUGGCGAAGGCAGGUCUCUGGGCUGACACUGACGCUCAUGCACGAAAGCGUGGGGAGCAAACAGG